CACGGGGUUGCGAGCGUUGUCCGGAAUUGCUAGGCGUAAAGGGCAGGCAGGCGGAUCCAUAAGUUUAUCGUUUAAGGCGUCGGCUUAACCGGCGUAGGGCGGUAGAUACUGUGGAUCUGGAAUGCGGUUGGGGAAGACAGAAUUCCUGGUGUAGCGGUGGAAUGCGCAGAGAUCAGGAGGAAUACCGAAGGCGAAGGCAGUCUUCCAAGCCGUUAUUGACGCUCAACUGCGAAGGUGUGGGUAUCAAACAGGAUUAGAUACCCUGGUAGUCCCU
rnacentral:rRNA from 1 species